rnacentral:lncRNA from 1 species
UUUUUUUGAUAUUCAGAUUAUAGAAAUACCACUGAGUUUUUACCCAGCGUACGGUUUUGUUUUCUGUACGCAGGUUAGAUACUUAAUUUUGAUCGUCGAUUCAGCAUCCAACAACGGUCCCGUACUCAAACAUGGUGAUAUUUAUCCUUUUUGUGUCGGCAUGUACCUAAGGUGUCUAAUUAUUAGUCAUUUUGUGGAUUGAUUG